GACGUAGGGCGCAAGCGUUGUCCGGAUUUAUUGGGCGUAAAGAGCUCGUAGGCGGCUUGUUGCGUCGACCGUGAAAACCCGCGGCUUAACCGUGGGCUUGCGGUUGAUACGGGCGGGCUGGAGUUCGAUAGGGGAGACUGGAAUUCCAGGUGUAGCGGUGAAAUGCGUAGAUAUCUGGAGGAACACCGGUGGCGAAGGCGGCGUCCUGGACCAACACUGACACUGAUGAGCGAAAGCCAGGGGAGCAAACGGG
rnacentral:rRNA from 1 species